rnacentral:misc_RNA from 1 species
CGCGGUUAGUUAGCUUGUGACUGUGGACGGGGAGGGUACGACAACUACACUCUGCGCGCUCCCUCACUGAAACGUGCUCUCAUGCCCCCUCCGCGUCUAACCUCGAACACUCUUACGAUCCCGCCAUCGACUCUCUACGGGGCAUCCCUCACGAUACGAGUUUUGCGAAGCGUGCUACUACUUCGUGUGUGAUCUCGAGCAUGAAGUGAGCCACGAACGAAGCCCGUGAACGAUUCCUGCGCCCCACUUGCCUCCAGCUCGGACAGUGUGCUUGUGAACUUUUCUGGAGCGAUGGUGUUGGCGGCCUCUGGAAGUUAGCUCCAGUGUUGCGAAGGGAGAGGACGACUUGAGGUGUGUAUCAGGGAUCUGGUGAAAAGAAUCUACGACUGAGACGACUCUACUACUACUACUAUUACUACGAAAACGACCUCCACGACAACUUCGCCACGCUCUUAGUAACCACACCAGGAUUUGCAUUUAGAAAAGAGUGAACCUCCAACCCCAGCGAUGGCGAGCUCCACGCUGAGCCUUAUCUACAGCAACAGACCGCAGCGGCUGACCCAGGUUGUGGCGACGCUGAUCGUGGCCCUGGGACCACUGGCGACGGGUCUGGGAAAAGGCUACUCUUCCCCUGCCCUCGCCUCCAUGCAGCUGCCCGCCCCCACCAACAGCACGCAGUCUUACUACUUCACCAUCACCCCGGAGCAAGGAUCCUGGAUCGCGUCACUGUCUCUACUCGGCGCCUUCUUCGGCGGCAUUCCCAGUGGCCUGGCGAUGCGACUUGGCAGGAAAAGUGUCCUAGCGAUGGUGGCCCUCCCCUUCGCUCUGUCGUGGCUUCUGACGGUAUUCGCUUCCAGCGUGUACAUGGUGUACGCCUCCUCCUUCAUGUGUGGCAUCUGCUCGGCGAUCGUGUCUCUGGUCACGCCUGUGUACAUCAGCGAGAUCGCCCAUCCGGAGAUCCGCGGAUGCCUCUGCUCAGUGGCUAAACUGACUACCAACGUGGGGAUGCUGAUGUCCUUCCUGUUGGGUGUGUACCUCGACUGGCGCCAGCUGGCCAUGGUGGCGUCCAUCGCCCCGGCACUGCUCUUCCUGGCACUCAUGCUCAUCCCCGAGACGCCGAGCUACCUGUUGUAUCGCGGCCGUGAGGAUGACGCCGCCACCUCGCUGACGUGGCUGCGAGGAGGCCUGGACGUGACCCAGGAGCUGGACACCAUGAAGGCCAACAUAGAGGUCAUGCGUAAGGACUCUGAGGUCACAUGCUACAGGGAGUGGCGCCGUGACCUGGUCAAGCCUGUCCUCAUCACCUGUGGCCUCAUGGUGUUCCAGAAGUUCAGCGGCGCCAACGCCUUCAACUUCUACGCAGUGCCGAUCCUGAGCGAGGCCUUCGUGGGCAUCAACCCCUACAGCGCCGCCGUGGUGGUGGGUCUGCUGCAGAUCCUCGCCGGUAUGGUGUCUUCCGUGCUGAUCGACACUGUAGGUCGCCUGCCCCUGCUGAUCGUCUCAAACCUCCUCAUGUCCACGGCACUGGCGGGCUUCGGAACCUUCCUGUACGUGACAGGAAGCGACAAUGGAGUGGACGCUGGCGCCCGCAUGGACUGGAUCCCUCUCACCUGCGCGCUCAUCUUCCAGGUGGCCUUUGCUUUGGGUAUCUCGCCCAUCUCCUGGAUUUACAUCGGCGAGCUGUUCCCGUUGAAGCACCGCGGACUUGGCGCCAUUGCAAAUUCCGUGAGUUACGCGUGUUCCUUUGCCAGCGUGAAGACUUUCGUCGACUUCCAGUUGCUGCUAGGACUGUACGGGGCCUUCUGGCUAUACGCGGGGAUCUCCAUUAUCGGUCUGGUAUUCACAGUGUCCUUAGUACCGGAGACUAAAGGGCGCGGUCUUCAGGAGAUGGAGACAAACUAUCAGACUCAGGAGAAGUACUCUCCGAUGUAUAGCGAACAGGAAAGGGAGAACAAGUUGAUACCUUAGGUCUAUCUAUCGUGUGUGUGUUCAGGCGGAAUGUGCCUUUGCAUUUCAGGUCCCAAGCAGGCCCUGAGUGGCCCUGCUAGGGUGCAUCACAAAGUGUCCUUCGUAGAGGGCAUGGGGGCGUGGGUUUGGGUAGGUGGAGAGCCUGAGUUGUGCUGUGGUACAAAGACGAAUGAUAACGAUGGUGUCGCAGAACCACUAAUCAUCUACCUGCCCAGCGCCUCCCACGCCCCGCUGCCCCAACCUGUCCUGCGUGUGUGCGUAUACGUGCAGUGUAUGCAUAGAGAUGUGUACAGUUUUGGUAUACAUGAGUAGGAGAGAGUUUGUGAUUAUGUGUACGUCUAUGUUUGUGUAGACAAUUUAGUAUACUCAUUUUGUUCCUUUAUCCGUGAAAUGAUGAAGAAUGAUUUUUUAUUUUCUUAAAAGCAACCCGUUUUUUGACGGGUGUAAGACAAUUAUUUGUAAUGUAUAGCUGUGUGUGUGUGUGUGUGUGUGUGUGUGUGUGUGUGUGUGUGUGUGUGUGUGUGUGUGUGUGUG